AGCUCCAAUAGCGUAUAUUAAAGUUGUUGCAGUUAAAAAGCUCGUAGUUGGACCUAUGACAAGGCCGACUGGUCUGCCGCAAGGCAGCUACUGGUUGUGCCGCGUCACGAUUCUAGGGAACUGUACAAAUUGUGCAGGGAACUAGGGAUUACUUUGAAGAAAUUAGAGUGUUCAAAGCAGGCAUUUGCUUGAAUACAUUAGCAUGGAAUAAUGAGAUAUGACUACGGUCUUAUUUCGUUGGUUUGAGGGCAGUAGUAAUGAUUAAUAGGGAUAGUUGGGGGCAUUUGUAUUCAGUAGUCAGAGGUGAAAUUCUUGGAUUUGCUGAAGACAAACUAGUGCGAAAGCAUUUGCCAAGGAUGUUUUCA
rnacentral:rRNA from 1 species